CCCUUAGAUGUUCUGGGCCGCACGCGUGCUACACUGAGUGGAUCAGCGGGUCAGGUUGCGCGAAAGUGUUUCCUAAUCUUGAAAUCCGCUCGUGAUGGGGAUUGACGGUUGCAAUUUUCCGUCAUGAACGAGGAAUACCUUGUAAGCGCGGGUCAUCAUCCCGCGCUGAAUACGUCCCUGCCCUUUGUACACACCGCCCGUCGCUCCUACCGAUUGAAUGGUCCGGUGAAGCCUCGGGAUUGUGGUUCUUGCCGCUUUAUUGUGGCGUGACCGCGAGAACUUGUCUAAACCUUAUCAUCUAGAGGAAGGUGAAGUCGUAACA
rnacentral:rRNA from 1 species